UGCGUGUGUGUGUGUGUGUGUGUGUGUGUGUUUGUUUUUAUUACAUGGUGGGGGCCGCAACACGUUAGCACACUCACAGUGUGGGGACCGAAAACAUUGUGGGGACCAGUUUGCCGGUCCCCACAAUGUUUUCAGCCAAAAUGCGCCAGUUGACUCAGGAGACCAUGCUGAUAUAGGUGGUGCAGUUUUUUUUUUGGACCCCACCAUACGCAAAAACAUGAGAAGUGUGUAAAAGCGUGCUUACACACAUGCUCACCGAUGCCCCCGGCGGUAUCUUGGUGGUACUGCACCCUACCCUAAAAGUGUGCUUAGGAUGCGGACCGUAAGCACACUUUCACUACUGCGCCUGCGCAACCCUGAUACACGUCACUGAGUGCUGUGAACGCUGAAUUAAUCACUGCUACUACAAGGUGAAGCUAAAAUGGCGCCUGUAGUUUUUUCCGUUCUAUAUUGAAUGGAACGAAUGGGACUUGGAAGAACAAAAACUACACUUCCCAUAAUUCCCUCUGUCACGCCACGAAAGAGCUGAAGGAUAGCUGCACUCAAGAAGCACCGAUGUAAGAUACUCUCAGUUGCAGGAGGAGAAGAUAAAAUGAGACGGAGGAGGGUGAAACCACUUGAUGAAGCAGUUCAGCAUGUCACCAGUGCAACUGACAAGACUGAUGUAUUGGAGAGUAAAUUAGUAAACCCUUAUAAAGGUCGUGGUGUAUUUGCCCUGGCUUCU